AAUGUAUGGAUAUUUUCUCAGAAGAGUUGAUCAAAGAUUUCAGCUUGAGAGAACCAUGAAUACCCUUCCCAAGCGUUUUGAUGAAAACAGGUCAAUAUAUUAUGAUCCAAGUCCAGAGAACCGGCUUUGGGAUCCAGAUUCUUUGAUAAGGAUUCCACCUGAUGAUGGAGGUGAUAGUGAUGAGGGCUAUAUGGAUACUGAUGGAGAAAAAAAAUAUAGACUGAGAUCUUAUGUAAUGUAUUUGGAUGCUGAGACACUCCAAAGAUAUGCAACCAUGAGAUCUAAGGAAGCCAUUUCUUUGAUUGAAAAGCAAGCUCAGGCACUA
rnacentral:misc_RNA from 1 species